rnacentral:misc_RNA from 1 species
GUUCUUAUAUAGUUAAUGUAUUUAUUUAAUUGUAUACAUUUUAAUAUCUUCAAUAUUAAUUAAAUUGAUCACAUUGCAUUUUGGUUGCUUCUUCUUCUUUAAAGAUCUACGAGAUUGUAUUUUAAACCAUUAUUUUUGGUUCUUCCUGCUUGUUACUACAUGAAUAAAAUAUUAUAUUUAUCCGUCCAUGAUCACCCAUGUCUGCUUUCUUAAGCUCCCUCUCUUCCUGCAUUAUCUCGUCAAUCUCUCCAAAAUGGAAAAGCCCCUCAAUUCAGUGACUUGUUUACGUGCAACUCAGCUUCUGUUUAUAAUCUGUGUUUUCUUCACGUCCGCAUAGCCGUGCGCCGUAGCUGUUGCUACACAGGAGCUUCUUGUAGGCUUCAGAGCCACGCCUAACCCUUCAGUCUCGUCAUUUCAAUCUCUCCUAAACGACUCAACAAGCAAUUUCUCCCUCGGUUAUUCACCUCCCUUCUCAGCAACCACUAUGGCACU